UGGGGAAUCUUCCGCAAUGGACGAAAGUCUGACGGAGCAACGCCGCGUGAGUGAAGACGGCCUUCGGGUUGUAAAGCUCUGUUAUUCGGGAAGAACGAUUCGUUUGUGAACAAUGAACGGAAGUGACGGUACCGAAAGAGAAAGCCACGGCUAACUACGUGCCAGCAGCCGCGGUAAUACGUAGGUGGCCAGCGUUGUCCGGAAUUAUUGGGCGUAAAGAGCGCGUAGGCGGUAUGGUAAGUCUGUCUUAGAAGUGCGGGGCUUAACCCCGUGAGGGGACAGAGACUGUCAUACUGGAGUCUCGGAGAGGAAAGCGGAAUUCCUAGUGUAGCGGUGAAAUGCGUAGAGAUUAGGAAGAACACCGGUGGCGAAGGCGGCUUUCUGGACGAGCACUGACGCUGAGGCGCGAAAGCGUGGGGAGCGAACAGG
rnacentral:rRNA from 1 species